CGGGACGUGGCGCAGUUUGGUAGCGCACUUGACUGGGGGUCAAGGGGUCGUGGGUUCAAAUCCCGCCGUCCCGA
rfam:Streptomyces qinglanensis strain SCSIO M10379 scaffold1, whole genome shotgun sequence.